rnacentral:rRNA from 1 species
GAUGAACGCUGGCGGCGUGCUUAACACAUGCAAGUCGAACGAGAAAUGAUAUUACGAUCUCUUCGGAGUGACGGUUUUAUUUCGAGUGGCGGACGGGUGAGUAACGCGUGAGCAACCUGCCCUAUACCGGGGGAUACCAGUUGGAAACGACUGUUAAUACCGCAUAAGCGCACGAUAAGACAUCUUGUUGUGUGAAAAACUCCGGUGGUAUAGGAUGGGCUCGCGUAUGAUUAGCCAGUUGGCGGGGUAAAGGCCCACCGAAGCGACGAUCAUUAGCCGACCUGAGAGGGCGACCGGCCACAUUGGGACUGAGACACGGCCCAAACUCCUACGGGAGGCAGCAGUGGGGAAUAUUGCACAAUGGGCGAAAGCCUGAUGCAGCGACGCCGCGUGAGUGAGGAAGUAUUUCGGUAUGUAAAGCUCUAUCAGCAGGGAAGAAAGAAAUGACGGUACCUGAGUAAGAAGCUCCGGCUAAAUACGUGCCAGCAGCCGCGGUAAUACGUAGGGGGCAAGCGUUAUCCGGAUUCAUUGGGCGUAAAGCGCUCGUAGGCGGUCUGUUAGGUCGGGAGUUAAAUCCGGGGGCUCAACCCCCGCUCGCUCUCGAUACCGGCAGACUUGAGUUUGGUAGGGGAAGGUGGAAUUCCUAGUGUAGCGGUGGAAUGCGCAGAUAUUAGGAAGAACACCAGUGGCGAAGGCGGCCUUCUGGGCCAUAACUGACGCUGAGGAGCGAAAGCUAGGGGAGCAAACAGG